rnacentral:rRNA from 1 species
AUCGUAACUCCUACGGGAGGCAGCAGUGGGGAAUCUUCCGCAAUGGGCGAAGGCCUGACGGAGCAACGCCGCGUGAGUGAUGAAGGUCUUCGGAUCGUAAAACUCUGUUAUUAGGGAAGAACAUAUGUGUAAGUAACUGUGCACAUCUUGACGGUACCUAAUCAGAAAGCCACGGCUAACUACGUGCCAGCAGCCGCGGUAAUACGUAGGUGGCAAGCGUUAUCCGGAAUUAUUGGGCGUAAAGCGCGCGUAGGCGUUUUUUUAAGUCUGAUGUGAAAGCCCACGGCUCAACCGUGGAGGGUCAUUGGAAACUGGAAAACUUGAGUGCAGAAAAGGAAAGUGGAAUUCCAUGUGUAGCGGUGAAAUGCGCAGAGAUAUGGAGGAACACCAGUGGCGAAGGCGACUUUCUGGUCUGUAACUGACGCUGGUGUGCGAAAGCGUGGGGAUCAAACAGGAUUAGAUACCCUUGUAGUCCUAGAGC